rnacentral:rRNA from 1 species
GACGAACGCUGGCGGCGUGCCUAACACAUGCAAGUCGAACGAAACCUCCGGGUCGAGUGUCCUCCGGUUGCGUAAGGGGUGGGAACCUGCCCUUAGGUUCGGCAUAACUCCCCGAAAGGGGUGCUAAUACGGGAUAAUUUCUUCGGACGAAUGAUUUAUCGCCUUUGGAUGGGCCAAAGUUGGAUUAGCUAGUUGUUAGGGUAAAAGCAAACCAAGGCGUGGAUCCAUAGCUGGUCUGAGAGGCUGAUCAGCGACACUGGGAUUGAGACACGGCCCAGACUCCUACGGGAGGCGGCAAAUGGGAAUAUUGGACAGUGGGCGAAAGGCUGAUCCAGCACGGCCGGGAGAGCGAUGAAGGCGUUGGAGUUGUAAUGCUGUAGUACCCGGGAUGAUAAUGACGGUACCGGGAGAAUAAGCUCCGGCUAACUACGUG